rnacentral:ncRNA from 1 species
UUGAAUGUAUUGAGGAGAACAGCAAACAAUUAGCUAAUACGCCCAGAGAGCUGCCGGCAAUGGAAAGGCAGUCGUCCCUUAGUUAGUUGCAGAUCAUCUCCGAAUGCUAUCCUGAAUUGAGUAAGGGUGGCCGGUCCAUGGACGUUAACCAUGCUAAGAGAGAAUUUAAACAAUUCUAAAAUUGGGUGGUACCACGAUAACUUCGUCCCUGGG